AUGGACCUGCAACUGACCAACGUAGAGCACUUCUCAGAGAGCGAUGCUGAGGACAAGAUGAGACAACUGAACGGCUUCCAACAGGAGAUCACACUGAACACCAACAAGAUUGACCAGCUCAUCGUGUUUGGGGAGCAGCUCAUUCAGAAGAGUGAGCCCCUGGAUGCCGUCCUCAUCGAGGAUGAACUGGAGGAACUGCAUCGCUACUGUCAGGAGGUGUUCGGCCGAGUCUCUCGCUUCCACCGACGCCUGACCUCCCACACCCCGGUAAGGACCCACACCCUGGUAACCGGUAUCCAGCACUCCCAGCUGCUCAGUGAGCGCAUCGUACUGGAUACUGUUUGAAGAAUCAGGAAGGUUACCUUGUACUGGACCCAUGAUUUACUUACAGCUAAAAAGAAGGGCUCCAGGGAAGCACCUCCAUUCCUCCCUGGAGCUCUCCCCAUCCAACCAUGGCAGAUUUGGAAAUGUGCUAGUUUGAAAUUGAGUCUUGCUUGCUUCUACUCAGCCGCCUUUGUGUGAACCCAAUGGAUGUAGAGUUAUGUUUUAAGGAUUUGGUUUUGUUUGUUUAAGUUAUGUGCUUUUUGUGUGAGUCUGUGCACAUGAGUGCAGGUGUCUCUCUGCGUGUGACAAAACUUUUCCUGAGUCACACAUGUCUUACCUUAUAUAGUGAACUCAUAAUACAGAUACCAUCAAAGUUCAGCUUGGUGAACCAAUAAGUUUUAUAGGGUUUACUUAUGGGAAUAUAUGUGAAGGGUUUCUUAGAAGAGCAGAAAUGACUCAAAGACAGCUGCAUUACCAAAGCCCAUCCCAGCACGGGCGACAGUUCACAAAAGCUAGGAACAUGGAGCACAUUGCACAGCCUGCAGGCAGCUCAACAGGUUGGAAAAUGUCCUUUCCAAAUAACUCCAGUCUAAACCUCUUCCAGGCAGCUGAUUUCUACUUCCAGAGAGUUACUCAGGCCUCAAGAACCUUCUUUACAGCUUGGCUUUCUUCCAUCUGACGGGGGAGACCUCAGCUUUUAUUGCUUACUCUGGCAGUGAGGAGGCUAGUGAAUCUGGUCUGUUUCAGGAACUUCCUGAAGCUAUUUUGAGUUGUGUACCUUCCUGUUUAAAGAG
rnacentral:lncRNA from 1 species